rnacentral:rRNA from 1 species
AGAUUGAACGCUGGCGGCAGGCCUAACACAUGCAAGUCGAGCGACAGCACGGGUACUUGUACCUGGUGGCGAGCGGCGGACGGGUGAGUAAUGCCUAGGAAUCUGCCUGAUAGUGGGGGAUAACGUUCGGAAACGGACGCUAAUACCGCAUACGUCCUACGGGAGAAAGUGGGGGAUCUUCGGACCUCACGCUAUCAGAUGAGCCUAGGUCGGAUUAGCUAGUUGGUAGGUAAAGGCCUACCAAGGCUACGAUCCGUAACUGGUCUGAGAGGAUGAUCAGUCACACUGGAACUGAGACACGGUCCAGACUCCUACGGGAGGCAGCAGUGGGGAAUAUUGGACAAUGGGCGAAAGCCUGAUCCAGCCAUGCCGCGUGUGUGAAGAAGGUCUUCGGAUUGUAAAGCACUUUAAGUUGGAGAAGGCAUUAACCUAAUACGUUAGUGUUUUGACGUUACCGACAGAAUAAGCUCCGGACUAACUCUGUCGCCAGCAGCCGUA